GAUACAAUGGCUCAAGUUGUGCCACAGAGUGACAAUCCAGGAGCUACUCGGAGUACAAAGUACCAACCAUUAUACAAGGAUCAGACGUCAAUGUUUUUUGAGACCUUGAUGCAAAAACCAAGGUCUUGAUGUCGCAAUUUCCCUCCAUAUGCAUAUGAAACCUUGCUAGAUUUUCGCCACUGUCAGUGAACGUUGUAUAUAUGUUUGUAACAUCUGAGAACAAAUGCAAAACCAAGAGCUCAAAUAAAUUGAAGAGCAAAACCUAUACACAGAUAUUAAAAGAAAUAUAAUCAAAUUGAUAGAGCACCUUGGAGGUGAAAGGUAAUGUCAAAUAAUUGGACAUGACGUGAAAACGAUGACCUCACUUGGGAUAAUAGUUCAUUUGAUUGUAGCCACA
rnacentral:lncRNA from 1 species